UACGGAGGGAGCUAGCGUUGUUCGGAAUCACUGGGCGUAAAGCGCACGUAGGCGGCUACUCAAGUCGGGGGUGAAAGCCCGGGGCUCAACCCCGGAACUGCCCUCGAAACUAGGCAGCUAGAAUCUUGGAGAGGCGAGUGGAAUUCCGAGUGUAGAGGUGAAAUUCGUAGAUAUUCGGAAGAACACCAGUGGCGAAGGCGACUCACUGGACACGUAUUGACGCUGAGGUGCGAAAGCGUGGGGAGCAAACAGG
rnacentral:rRNA from 1 species